GAUGAAGAACGUAGUGAAAUGCGAUAAGUAAUGUGAAUUGCAGAAUUCAGUGAAUCAUCGAAUCUUUGAACGCACAUUGCGCCCGCCAGUAUUCUGGCGGGCAUGCCUGUUCGAGCGUCAUUUCAACCCUCAGGCCCCCAGUGCCUGGUGUUGGGGAUCGGCCCAGCCUUCCUGUAAGGCCGCCGGCCCCGAAAUCUAGUGGCGGUCUCGCUGUAGUCCUCCUCUGCGUAGUAGCACAACCUCGCAGUUGGAACGCGGCGGUGGCCAUGCCGUUAAACACCCCACUUCUGAAAGUUGACCUCGGAUCAGGUAGGAAUACCCGCUGAACUUGAGCAUAUCAAUAAGCGGAGGA
rnacentral:misc_RNA from 1 species